CACGUAGGGCGCAAGCGUUGUCCGGAAUUAUUGGGCGUAAAGAGCUCGUAGCGGUCCGUCACGUCCGCUGUGAAAACCCAGGGCUCAACCCUGGGCUUGCAGUGGAUACGGGCAGACUAGAGGUAGGUAGGGGAGAAUGGAAUUCCCGGUGUAGCGGUGAAAUGCGCAGAUAUCGGGAGGAACACCGGUGGCGAAGGCGGUUCUCUGGGCCUUACCUGACGCUGAGGAGCGAAAGCGUGGGGAGCGAACAGGAUUGAGAAACCCCAG
rnacentral:rRNA from 1 species